rnacentral:rRNA from 1 species
UACGUAGGGACCAAGCGUUGUUCGGAUUUACUGGGCGUAAAGGGCGCGUAGGCGGCGCGGUAAGUCACUUGUGAAAUCUCUGAGCUUAACUCAGAACGGCCAAGUGAUACUGCAGUGCUAGAGUGUGGAAGGGGCAAUCGGAAUUCUUGGUGUAGCGGUGAAAUGCGUAGAUAUCGAGAGGAACACCUGAGGUGAAGGCGGGUUGCUGGGCCAACACUGACGCUGAGGCGCGAAAGCCAGGGGAGCAAACGGG